rnacentral:rRNA from 1 species
UACGUAGGGGGCGAGCGUUGUCCGGAUUUAUUGGGCGUAAAGAGCGUGUAGGCGGCCAGGUAGGUCCGUUGUGAAAACUCGAGGCUCAACCUCGAGACGUCGAUGGAAACCAUCUGGCUAGAGUCCGGAAGAGGAGAGUGGAAUUCCUGGUGUAGCGGUGAAAUGCGCAGAUAUCAGGAGGAACACCGAUGGCGAAGGCAGGUCUCUGGGCCAUAACUGACGCUGAGAAGCGAAAGCAUGGGGAGCGAACAGG